rnacentral:rRNA from 1 species
UCCUGGCUUAGGAUGAACGCUAGCGGCAGGCUAACACAUGCAAGUCGAGGGGCAGCGGGAUGUAGCAAUACAUUGCCGGCGACCGGCGGAUGGGUGCGUAACGCGUAUGCAACCUACCUUAUACAGGGGAAUAACCUUUCGAAAGGGAGACUAACACCCCAUAGUAUUGAUUUAAGGCAUCUUAGAUUAAUUAAAUAUUUAUAGGUAUAAGAUGGGCAUGCGUAUGAUUAGCUAGUUGGUAAGGUAACGGCUUACCAAGGCGACGAUCAUUAGGGGUUCUGAGAGGAAGGUCCCCCACACUGGUACUGAGACACGGACCAGACUCCUACGGGAGGCAGCAGUGAGGAAUAUUGGUCAAUGGGCGCAAGCCUGAACCAGCCAUGCCGCGUGCAAGGAAGACGGCCUUAUGGGUUGUAAACUGCUUUUACAUAAGACUAACCGUAUAUUUGCGAAUAUACCUGAAUGUAUUAUGAGAAUAAGGAUCGGCUAACUCCGUGCCAGCCGCCGC